GACUACCCGCUGAAUUUAAGCAUAUUAAUAGGCGGAGGAAAAGAAACUAACGAGGAUUCCCCAAGUAGCGGCGAGCGAACAGGGAGAAGCCCAGCACGGAAUCCCGUGCGGCGACGCACAGGGAGAUGUCGUGUGUGGGAGGUUCCACUUUGCCGGGAGUCAGCGGCGAGUCCAAGUCUCCCUUGAACGGGGCCACAGCCCGCAGAGGGUGCCAGGCCCGUAGAGACCGCGGCUGCUCUCGGGAGGAACUCUCCUCAGAGUCGUGUUCCUUGAGAGUGGAGCACCAAGAGGGUGGUAAACUCCAUCUAAGGCUAAAUAUGACCACGAGACCGAUAGCGAACAAGUACCGUGAGGGAAAGUUGAAAAGAACUUUGAAGAGAGAGUUCAACAGUACGUGAAACCGUUCAGGGGUAAACGGGAGAGAUCCGAAAGGUCGAAAGGGGGAGACUCAAUCCCGUCCGCGAGUCUGGUGCCGUUCUCGGUCCCACGGAUGCUGCCGGCCGCCGGUCGCGUCGCAAGGCGCGAUCCGGGUCGGAGUCGGUGGCACCGGGGCUGGAGGCCCAGCUGCGGCGAGGUGCACUUCUCCCCCGAGUAGGACGUCGCGACCCGUUGGGCACGUCCGGCCUAAGGCCCGGGAUGAGGCCGAGGAGGCUGCCGCGCAAUCGCGCGGGUCAACGGUCUCCCGGACCCUGGAUGUCCUGGCCGGCGCCCGACGGCAUGCUUCGAGGAGAAGGCCCGCUCCCUCGCAGAGCGAGCGUCCGGCCUGGCGGACAAGCUCGACGCAGGGCACGCGGUGCCGUGGCUUCCGCCACGUCCCCGGCCCCCGUUGGCUGUUGGUCCCCGGAGUCCUCGGACGGUGGCCGUCUCCCGUCUGCGGCGCUUCUGCUUCGGAUGCUUUCCCGACCCGUCUUGAAACACGGACCAAGGAGUCUAACAUGUGCGCGAGUCGCUGGGAGCACUUGCUAAACCCGGAGGCACAGUGAAAGCGGGGAGCAGCCCUUCGUGGGCCGCCGUUGGGAGGAUGUCGAGCGGAAUUCCCGCAAGAUCGCACUCCCGGGGCGCUUCGGCCUCGGCCGCAUGCGCACCCCGAGCGCACACGUUGGGACCCGAAAGAUGGUGAACUAUGCCUGGUCAGGACGAAGUCAGGGGAAACC
rnacentral:rRNA from 1 species